AUUGAACGCUGGCGGCAGGCCUUACACAUGCAAGUCGAGCGGAGCGGCGGACGGGUGAGUAAUGCCUAGGAAUCUGACUGUGAGUGGUGGAUAACGUUAGGAAACGGGCGCUGAUACCGCAUCCUAUCAGAUGAGCCUAGGUCGGUGUAGCUAUGUGGUGGGGUAAAGGCCUACCAAGGCGACGAUCCGUAACUGGUCUGAGAGGAGGAUCAGGCAAACUGGAACUGAGACACGGUCCAGACUCCUACGGGAGGCAGGAGUGGGGAAUAUUGGACAAUGGGCGAAAGCCUGAUCCAGCCAUGCCGCGGUGGUGAAGAAGGUCUUCGGAUUGGAAAGCUCUUUAAGUUGGGAGGCGUUACCAACAGAAUAAGCACCCGCUAACUUCGUGCCAGCAGCCGCGGUAAUUC
rnacentral:rRNA from 1 species